UACGUAGGCGGAAAAUUAAGUCAGAGGUGAAAUCCCACAGCUUAACUGUGGAACUGCCUUAGAUACUGGUUAUCUUGAGUUUUAGUGAAGUAGAUAGAAUGUGUAGUGUAGCGGUGAAAUGCAUAGAUAUUACACAGAAUACCGAUUGCGAAGGCAGUCUACUAACUAACAACUGACGCUAAUGGACGAAAGCGUGGGGAGCGAACAGGAUUAGAUACCCUGGUAGUCC
rnacentral:rRNA from 1 species